AGUGUACUCCCUCCGUUCCGAAUUACUUGUCGCGGGUAUGGAUGUAUCUAGAUGUAUUUUAGUUCUAGAUACAUCCAUUUCUGCGAUGAGUAAUUUGGAACGGAGGGAGUACUUU
rnacentral:pre_miRNA from 1 species